CCUACGGGAGGCAGCAGUGAGGAAUAUUGGUCAAUGGACGAGAGUCUGAACCAGCCAAGUAGCGUGAAGGAUGACUGCCCUAUGGGUUGUAAACUUCUUUUAUAUGGGAAUAAAAUGUUCCACGUGUGGGAUUUUGUAUGUACCAUAUGAAUAAGGAUCGGCUAACUCCGUGCCAGCAGCCGCGGUAAUACGGAGGAUCCGAGCGUUAUCCGGAUUUAUUGGGUUUAAAGGGAGCGUAGGUGGAUUGUUAAGUCAGUUGUGAAAGUUUGCGGCUCAACCGUAAAAUUGCAGUUGAAACUGGCAGUCUUGAGUACAGUAGAGGUGGGCUGAAUUCGUGGUGUAGCGGUGAAAUGCUUAGAUAUCACGAAGAACUCCGAUUGCGAAGGCAGUUCACUGGACUGCAACUGACACUGAGGCUCGAAAGUGUGGGUAUCAAACAGGAUUAGAUACCCGAGUAGUC
rnacentral:rRNA from 1 species